GUAGCUGGCUGAGGUAGUCCCCUUGUUUAAAUCCGCCCGAAUUAAUCGGUUGGAUUGCGGCGGAUACUGCUCGGGCUAGGGGACGAGAGAGGCAGACGGUAUUUCUGGGUAGGGGUGAAAUCCUAUAAUCCCAGGAGGACCACCAGUGGCGAAGGCUGUGCUGCUAGAACGCGCCCGACGGUGAGGGAUGAAAGCUGGGGGAGCGAACCGGAUUAGAUACCCGGGUAGUCCCAGCUGUAAACGAUGCAGACUAUGUGUUUGGACGGCCACGUGCCGUUCUAGUGCCGCA
rnacentral:rRNA from 1 species